rnacentral:sRNA from 1 species
GCGGCCCGGAGGCGAUCUGUGCGCGAGGAGGCGCUGUGAAGACUGAGGCACAGCCCCUCCGAGGAAAGCCGAGAUUGUACGUUUCCUUGCCGGCUGAGCCGCGGCUCGUCCCCCGGAGCGACACAAAGAAGAAGUGGCCUUGCAUCCUGCUCCGCCUCCCGAGCCGGGUCCUUGGUCCCCGGAAGCCCUGGGCUGCCCCACUGGAGUUACCUUCUGUGCGUUCUCUCCUAAACCUACACGUUAUUCACGACUUUGUUCAUGACUAUGGAAAACAAAACAAAAACAAAAACCAAACCAAAGUUCCCUCGCCUGGCGAUGGUGCAAGCCUGUCUACCUGCUGGAGGAUGGUUGGAAUGUGCACACCUGGCUCGACCAAAAGAGGCACAGCUUAGGGGCGGCUUGGACCCAGCUCAAGUCUGGACUUGGCAGCUUUCCUGAGCCUGCCUAGGAAAGCAGGCUGGAGUGCAGGUGUCCCAGGGCUCUCUGGAGGAGCAGCAGCAACACCAUGCCUGGCUCUGGUGCCUUGGUCUCCUCGGAGAGGACGCUUGAAGGAAUGGCACUCAGCAGAGUACAGGCCCCGUAACAGUGCAGCGCAGCGACAUCCGCUGAGGACUGGACAGAAUGGUCCUGAUGCUUGGCAGUGAUCCGUACUUGGAUAACCCUCUGCAUGAAAGGGCAGUGAGCCAGGAACCUCAAGCCACCCGGGAGCAGGUGCCUACUUGGCGUUUUCUGAGACGAAAGGCAGCGGAGUGUGUAGCAAAGGUGGCGCUGGCUCUUGCUGCUUCUGAAGCUCCAUCUCGGCAGCCCUCUGCAGCGCCACCUCCACCAGCAACUGGAAGCUGCUGAAGUCAUCCUUGUCCUGCUCUGGGGGUGUGGGUGGUGGCGUAUUGAAGAGUCCACCCGUGGGGCUUCCAGCCUCUGCCCUAGUCAGCAGGGGUCACUGUAAAGCUCUGGCUGUUCUGGAACUCACUAUGUAGACCAAGGUGGCCUCAAAUGCUUCUUCUCCCUGAUUCCCAGGAUUAAAGCCACCAUGCUUGGGCUGGAGAGAUGGCUCACUGAUGUAAGAGCACUGAUUGCUCUUCCAGAGGUCCUGAGUUCAAAUCCCAGCAACCACGUGGUGGCUCACAACCAUCUAUAAAAAGGAUCUGAUGCCCUCUUCUGGUGUCUGAAGACAGCUACAGUGUACUCAUAUAAAU